rnacentral:rRNA from 1 species
CGUGUAGGCGGCUUGGUAAGUCGGGUGUGAAAGCCCGGGGCCCAACCCCGGAACUGCAUUCGAUACUGCCUCGCUAGAGUCCCGGAGAGGAGAGCGGAAUUCCCGGUGUAGAGGUGAAAUUCGUAGAUAUCGGGAGGAACACCAGUGGCGAAGGCGGCUCUCUGGACGGUGACUGACGCUGAGACGCGAAAGCGUGGGGAGCAAACAGGAUUAGAUACCCUGGUAGUCC